AUCCCAGAUAAGCUCACAUUUAGCUACUUGUCUGAUUCAUAGGAGGCCGAUACCAAAAGUUGGCAGUUUCGCUGAUAGCACCUUCCCAUUCCCAUGAAGGUGUUUCAUUAGUAACGUGCCAUACACGA